CCUACGGGAGGCAGCAGUGGGGAAUUUUGCGCAAUGGGGGAAACCCUGACGCAGCAACGCCGCGUGAGUGAUGAAGGCCCUCGGGUCGUAAAGCUCUUUUAGUGGGGAAGAAGCCCACCCGGGCCAAUACCUCGGGUGUCUGACGGUACCCACAGAAAAAGUUCCGGCUAACUACGUGCCAGCAGCCGCGGUAAUACGUAGGUGGCAAGCGUUGUCCGGAAUUAUUGGGCGUAAAGCGCGCGCAGGCGGUUCCUUAAGUCUGAUGUGAAAGCCCCCGGCUCAACCGGGGAGGGUCAUUGGAAACUGGGGAACUUGAGUGCAGAAGAGGAGAGCGGAAUUCCACGUGUAGCGGUGAAAUGCGUAGAGAUGUGGAGGAACACCAGUGGCGAAGGCGGCUCUCUGGUCUGUAACUGACGCUGAGGCGCGAAAGCGUGGGGAGCGAACAGGAUUAGAUACCCUGGUAGUCCACGCCCUAAACGGUGGGCACUAGGUGUAGGGCUCGUAAGGGUUCUGUGCCGAAGGGAAACCAUUAAGUGCCCCGCCUGGGGAGUACGGCCGCAAGGUUGAAACUCAAAGGAAUUGACGG
rnacentral:rRNA from 1 species